rnacentral:rRNA from 1 species
AUGGAGCGGCGGCAGUGGAGCCUCUCCGACUUCGACAUCGGCAAGUUCAUCGGCGAGGGCAAGUUCGGCAAGGUCUAUCUCGGCCGCGAGAGGCAGAGCGGCUACGUGGUGGCGCUCAAGGUGAUAUACAAGACGAAGCUGGAGAAGUACCGGUUCCACGGGCACCUGCGGCGGGAGAUCGAGAUCCAGCACGGCCUCGACCACCCCAACGUGCUCCGCCUCUUCGCCUGGUUCCACGACGCCGAGCGGGUCGUCCUCGUCCUCGAGUACGCCGCCCGCGGGGAGCUAUACAAGCUCCUCCGCAGCGUCGGCCACUUCUCGGAGCGGACCGCCGCCACCUAUGUAGCAAGCCUUGCUGGUGCACUGGCAUACUGUCACAAGAAGCAGGUAAUUCACAGGGACAUCAAGCCGGAAAAUUUGCUCCUUGAUAUCGAGGGCCGGCUUAAAAUUGCAGAUUUUGGAUGGGCGGUUCGAUCAAAUGCUAAACGUCACACACUCUGUGGCACAAUAGAUUACCUGGCACCGGAGAUGGUAGAGAAAAAGGCUCACGAUUACGCCGUUGACAACUGGACUUUAGGAAUCCUGUGCUACGAGUUUUUGUAUGGUUCGCCACCCUUUGAAGCUGCAGAACAGCAAGAUACCCUGAUGAGGAUAGUCAAAGUGGACUUGCUGUUCCCUAAAACUCGUGACAUAUCUGCAGAUGCCAAGGAUCUCAUUUGCAAGCUGCUAGUGAAGGAUUCGAGCAAGAGGAUUUCUCUUGACGAUAUUCUGAAGCAUCCGUGGAUUGUAAAGAAUGCAGAGCCUUCAGGGAGUUGCAUUGAGCAAAAAGCUAGUGCCUAA